rnacentral:rRNA from 1 species
GGCAUUUCNGAUAUUCCUCACUAAUCUUGUCCGAUCUCAGAAAGUAAGCAGAGUCAAGUNUGGUUAGUACUUAAAUGGGAAAUUGCCUGGGAAUACCAGGUGUAGUAGACU